AUUGAGAAUUUCAGACAGAGACCUCGAAGCAAACCCUACAGAGAGAAAAGCCGAGAAUAGACCUUUCGGGCUUGAAAUCAGUGCUCUCCAAUCACCACCACCGUAAUCUUCUGUUUCUGCCAUUACAGAGUAUCACCCAUUC